ACUCCGCCGGCGUUUCCAUGGUGGCAAGUGGCCGGUUCCUUGCGGGGCUGAGCAACAAAGUAGUAUCAGUGUUCGGUGGCUCCACUGGAACUACGCAGAGCCAGACCAGCGGGACCACAGAAUGGGCUGAGGCGGCGGCGGCUGUUUGGAUAAAGUCAACAGCGGGACGUGGGGCGUGACGCCGGUCCGGCAUCCUAAGACGUGUGGUUUGAGUUGCGGGCGAGACCAGGCUUUUUUUAGGACCUUGGGCCUGAUAAGUGGGCGACUGCAGUAGUGCGGGAACCUAUUAUUUGACAGGAACAUGACAGGAAGUGUAGGGACCCCAUGCUUGAUGGAUGGUGACUUAUAGUGUGGUAGUCUCAGUGUUGAUGGGCAUGACCGAGACAGCAGGAGUACCCCUAAGUUCUGGUGAGAGGUGGAGCCUCAGAAGGACACCUUACUCAAGCUGUCUUUAGUUCCCAAAGACAAAAAGGCUCAGUGGAAAAGAUUCCUUUUUUUUUUUUAAUGUCUCUAUAUUUGAGACUGUGGGUUUAUUGUGGAUAUGCAUUAUCUAGUUUUAAUAAAUAAAAGUAUAAACGUAGUAAAAGCCCAGCUUGAAAAUGGAGAUGUAUGAAACCCUUGGAAAAGUGGGAGAGGGAAGUUACGGAACAGUCAUGAAAUGUAAACAUAAGAAUACUGGGCAGAUAGUGGCCAUUAAGAUAUUUUAUGAGAGACCAGAACAAUCUGUCAACAAAAUUGCGAUGAGAGAAAUAAAGUUUCUAAAGCAAUUUCAUCACGAAAACCUGGUCAAUCUGAUUGAAGUUUUUAGACAGAAAAAGAAAAUUCAUUUGGUAUUUGAAUUUAUUGACCACACAGUAUUAGAUGAGUUACAACAUUAUUGUCAUGGACUAGAGAGUAAGCGACUUAGAAAAUACCUCUUCCAGAUCCUUCGAGCAAUUGACUAUCUUCACAGUAAUAAUAUCAUUCAUCGAGAUAUAAAACCUGAGAAUAUUUUAGUAUCCCAGUCAGGAAUUACUAAGCUCUGUGAUUUUGGUUUUGCACGAACACUAGCAGCUCCUGGGGACAUUUAUACGGACUAUGUGGCCACACGCUGGUAUAGAGCUCCCGAAUUAGUAUUAAAAGAUACUUCUUAUGGAAAACCUGUGGAUAUCUGGGCUUUGGGCUGUAUGAUCAUUGAGAUGGCCACUGGAAAUCCCUAUCUUCCUAGUAGUUCUGAUUUGGAUUUACUCCAUAAAAUUGUUUUGAAAGUGGGCAAUUUGUCACCUCACUUGCAGAAUAUCUUUUCCAAGAGCCCCAUUUUUGCUGGGGUAGUUCUUCCUCAAGUUCAACACCCCAAAAAUGCAAGAAAAAAAUAUCCAAAGCUUAAUGGAUUGUUGGCAGAUAUAGUUCAUAGACGGGGUUUCACCGUGUUGGCUGUGGUUGGCCAGGCUGCUCUUGAACUCCUGAGCUUAGGUGAUCCGCCCACCUCGGCCUCCCAAAGUGCUGGGAUUACAGGCAUGAGUCACCGCACCCAGGCAGUUCAU
rnacentral:lncRNA from 1 species